AUUGAACGCUGGCGGCAGGCCUAACACAUGCAAGUCGAACGAGAGGCGGACGGGUGGGUAAUGUAUGGGAAUCUGCCUGAUGGAGGGGGAUCAGUACGGAAAGCGGUCGCAAAUACCGCAACACAUCAGAUGCGACCAUAUGGGUUUAGCUUGUAGGUAAGGUAACGGCUUACCUAGGCGACGCUCCCUAGCUGGUCUGAGAGGAUGAACAGCCACACUGGGACUGAGACACGGCCCAGACUCCUACGGGAGGCAGCAGUGGGGAAUAUUGCACAAUGGGCGCAAGCCUGAUGCAGCCAUGCCGCGUGUAUGAAGAAGGCCUUCGGGUUGUAAAGUACUUUCAGUCGGGAGGCGUUACCGACAGAAGAAGCACCGGCUAACUCCGUGCCAGCAGCCGCGGUAAUAC
rnacentral:rRNA from 1 species